rnacentral:rRNA from 1 species
UACGUAGGGUGCAAGCGUUAAUCGGAAUUACUGGGCGUAAAGCGUGCGCAGGCGGUUAUGUAAGACAGAUGUGAAAUGCCCGGGCUUAACCUGGGAACUGCAUUUGUGACUGCAUGGCUAGAGUUUGGCAGAGGGGGGUAGAAUUCCACGUGUAGCAGUGAAAUGCGUAGAUAUGUGGAGGAACACCGAUGGCGAAGGCAGCCCCCUGGGUCAAGACUGACGCUCAUGCACGAAAGCGUGGGGAGCAAACAGGAUUAGAGU